rnacentral:rRNA from 1 species
UACGAAGGGGGCUAGCGUUGUUCGGAAUUACUGGGCGUAAAGCGCGUGUAGGCGGGCCGUUAAGUCGGGGGUGAAAGCCCAGAGCUCAACUCUGGAAUUGCCUUCGAUACUGGCGGCCUGGAGCAUGAUAGAGGCGAGUGGAAUUGCGAGUGUAGAGGUGAAAUUCGUAGAUAUUCGCAGGAACACCAGUGGCGAAGGCGACUCGCUGGAUCAUUGCUUACGCUGGGUCGCGAAAGCGUGGGGAGCAAACAGG